rnacentral:tRNA from 1 species
CCAGUUGUUGGCGAAGCGGUUAAGGCUUCUGACUUGAAUUCAGAUUCCCUCCGGGAGGGUAGGUUCGAAUCUUACCGGCUGGG